ensembl:lncRNA
CUGUUGCCAGUGACACUGUUGGGGAUUUAUUCAAAAUUGAAGGAACACUGAACCAGCACGACUACCACAGCAUCCUGCGACAUGCCAUCCCAUCAGGUUUCCGUUUAGUUGGACCAUCAUUUAUUUUUCAACAGGACAAUGACCCUAAGCACAUCUCCAGGCUGUCUGUGUAAGGGCUAUUUAUAAUAUUUAUUAUUAUUAUUAUUUAUCUAUCUACUCAAGAUUUUCUCAAGGUUUUUUUGGAAUAAAAUAAAAAAUAAAUAUAAAACAAAAAAUAAAUAAAAAAUAUGUAGCAGUUAAUAAUUUAUUUCAUUUUCUACUUCACUCCAAUUUUGCCCUGUGUGCGAUUCAAGGUAGCUUUUUGUUUGUCUGUUGUUUUUCAUUGCUUGACUGACUGAGCAGCAUUUGGUUUCACUGUGAGAGGGGACAAAUAACGAUAUGCUAUCUGUAGAGAUGCGGGGAAGCCCUUUGAGGAGCUACAUGUGUUUUGGUCUUUGGAGUCGGGCUGACUCCUGGUCAAUUUGAUUGCUGAAGACAGGUCAAAACAACCCUCAGGCUGCUGGUACUCCGACUGUUAUCUGCAGGUUUAUAUAUGUGAUAUUUUUAGGUUAUCAGGAAGAAGGAGUGGCUAAGCGGUAGGCUACUAUUUAGUCUCCCUUCUCUGUGACUCAUUUGCGUCUCAGCUUCUUCAGGCUCAUACAUUUUUCCUACCAGAUGAUGUCUCUGCGUUGGGCUCUCAGAUUAGUUUGGCUUAUUUGCGCAGUAUCACCUGUUUAUGGGUUUUCAUGUCGUGAAAAGCAGGAUUUGGAGGGGGAAAUGAAUGGAUGUGGCAGCAAUCAAAGCGCUCUUUUUACAGCUUCGAUGACUGUCCAAGCCACUGACCAAAAUGUGCUGGCUUGCUGUGGUGAGGAGGCCUACAAUCCAGUCAAUGAAAUAUGCUGUGACUCAGCCAUCAGAGUGAAACCUGCUGUUAAGAGCAAGUGUUGUGGUAAAGAGGCCAUCAAUGAGGACAAGCAGUUGUGCUGUCAAAUCAACAAGACGAUAACAAGGACUUCAAGUCUAUACCAGUGCUGUGGAAGUGAAGAGUAUAACACUGAGACUCACUGUUGUGAUAACGAAUUACAAAUCAAACCAUUCGGUAAUAGUUCCAUAACCUCAAGAAGACUGACUGAUGACUGUGAAGCAGAAAGCAAAAUCUGGACUGAUCAGCACUACUGUGGGCCUAAAGUUUUCAGACCUGAAAAAGAGAUCUGCUGCAGUGGACACAGAUAUAACAAAGCAGGAAAUGAUCACUGCUGUGGGGUGAAAGCCUACAACAUUACAGACCCAAAGAUGAAGUGCUGUGCAGGAACACUGCACCGUCUCACAGCUGCAACUGCAAAUGGCGAGUGCUGUGGAUCCAUUCUGUACACAGAGGGUGUUUGCUGCCUGAGUGAGGAUAAAGAGGUGUUCUACUCUGCAAAGACAGAUUUCAGAUGUUGUGGACAUCUCUACUACAACACCUCUCUGUGGUCAUGCUGUGCAGGGAAACUGAGACCUCGGAAAUCAGGGGUGUUCCACAACUCCACAAUUUUGUCCUUGAACAAACUGAAUCAAACACAACUUUGCAACCCAAUAAAGAUUGGGACUGUGGAAAGUGUAUCUCAGCACAGCAUCGUGUUCAGCAGUUUGCUGGAAAUCAAUGGGCAAAUUGCUUCUUUGAAACCUCUGGACUGGCAUUAUUCCUGGAACAAACCUUAUUUACCUGAACUAACUCCUGGGAAGACUUAUUUCUUCAAUGACGAUAAUGUCUUCAUUGAUUUCAAUCAUGACUCUCUUCUUCAGUCGAUCCGUUUCAUUAUUUCCAAAUGUUAGUCCUGUCCUGCUUAAUCUGCUCCAGUGUGCAAUAUGAAAUUAGUUCCCAGAGAGUGACAAAAGCUUCAGUAGUAAAAUAUGUACUUUGUGCAGUCAAAGUCAUGCAAUAGUGUGUUGUCUGCGUUCUCAUAGUGAGUUCUCAUAAAAGCUCUUUACAGUUUUGUUCUUCAGAUUUUUUUUCUUUUCAAAUUUGUAUUAUGUAACAAAAAACAUAAAAACUGCAGUUGUUUGGGCAGAUGCGAUUUGUUGCUAAUUUGCUCUACUAUCAGCAAUAACAGCUAAAUUUGCAGGUGCCCUGUGAUGUCUGCAUAUUUAUCUUUAACUGUGUUUAUAUUGUUUACUUCUCAAGUUUUACUCAAUAGCUAAUUUUUCCCUGAGGUCUUUGAACUGUUCUGUAUUACUAUAUAUUCAAAUGUAUACAAAAAUCAGUUAUCAUCAUCAUCACAAAUGUAUUCAUAUUUUAUCCAAUGAAUAAAUUUGAAAAGAAU